ACGAAACAUGCAGCUCCUGGAACUAAAAGAACAUUCUGUGAAUUCCCACCAAAGCAUGGGCUGACAGCCUUCAUCUAAAGCCGGAGGACUGCGUGGAGACCUGAGCUGGGAACAGCUUAAUUGGGGAUGAUCGUCCUCAGCUCAUUGGCUCCUGACAGCAGAGGAGAAUCGCUGACACCUAAGCGCACAGGUGCAUCAUACCACUUCCAAAGGGCUAUUUUAUCCACUGGGAUUCCUUGUGCUCAAACUCCUAUCUGCUUAAGUCAAUAGAUAAAAGAUCCAGCUAACUACAGCAUUGGACGUGAGAAAAGAGACGGCCGUCAACAGCAGCUGCCUCUUCAGUACUAGUAAGAAGUCCUAGGCAACCACCAGAUCUAGAGGUACCCAGAGCCACGAGGGGAAGACACGCGUGUACCAGGAUGUGGGCGAUGGUGACAUUAGUGUAAAAUCUAGAGCUGUGCCUUCAGCAUUUUUAUUGCAGCCAGUGCUGUUCCCACCCCAAUUCCCUGGGCAGCCUGUUCUUUUA